rnacentral:lncRNA from 1 species
GGAGUGGGGAGAGCAGGAAAUCACAAUGUUUUUAAUAAAAAUAAAGUACUGGUUUAAGUUGGAUACCUAAAAGUUUGAAUGAACUAUUGCAUAUCUUGUACAGAAAACCUCUUCAUCUAGUAGCGUGAUUCCACUAAAACAGUAGUUGUGACCUAGGAGGCCGCUGAACUGGCAGAGUGCUUACCCAGCAUGCACAGGAUCUGGGCUGCAUCCCUAGCACAGCAUAAAACCACCAAGGCAGAGAGAGAGAGAGAGAUCCUAAUCUCAGCACUGAGUCAGUGGAGGACCAACAGUUAAAGACCCAGCAAGAAAUCAGUUGGAGAAGAAUAAGAUUAUUAUCAGUCAUCUCCCAUGCCAACAUUGUAUAAAAAAUUGUAAUCAUGCUUGCGAGGACAUGAAGAAUUGGCAAGAAUACAUUUAAAGCCAACUGAAUGGGAAAAGGUCUGAGAAAUACAGGGUGGGAGGGAUUGAGGUUAGUUAGGAACUAAGCAAAUAGCACAUGUUAAGACAGCAG